AAACUUUUAGCAACGGAUCUCUUGGCUCUAGCAUCGAUGAAGAACGCAGCGAAAUGCGAUAAGUAAUGCGAAUUGCAGAAUUCAGUGAGUCAUCGAAUUUUUGAACGCAUAUUGCGCCUGCUAGUUUAUUCUAGCGGGCAUGCCUGUCCGAGCGUUAUUUUAUACUAUUAUGCUAUAGGUAUGUUGUUGGAGACUAGUAGCUUUCUAUAGCAUGCUAUCUCUUAAAUAUAAUACAAGUGGCUUUUUGCUAGGUAUUCUAUGUAGUAAAAUUAUUUUAUAGCAUACAAGACAUAGCAUUUAACUGCUGUUAAAAAGUCUCUUUUGUAGAAAGGUUAACCUCGGAUCAGGUAGGGAUACCCGCUGAACUUAAGCAUA
rnacentral:rRNA from 1 species